rnacentral:rRNA from 1 species
UACGUAGGGCGCAAGCGUUGUCCGGAAUUAUUGGGCGUAAAGAGCUCGUAGGCGGUCUGUUGCGUCCGCUGUGAAAACUCGGGGCUUAACCCCGAGCCUGCAGUGGAUACGGGCAGACUAGAGGUAGGUAGGGGAGAAUGGAAUUCCCGGUGUAGCGGUGAAAUGCGCAGAUAUCGGGAGGAACACCGGUGGCGAAGGCGGGUCUCUGGGCAUGUCCUGACGCUGAGGAGCGAAAGUGUGGGGAGCGAACAGG